AAAAAAUAAAAAUAAAAAAAUGAAAAGUCAAACAAAUAAACAAACCAACCCUGAGAAAAUACCAUUGAGCUUGGUUUGUGUUGGCCAUCUGCUGGGCAUGAGACCUGCCUUUAAGUGUGGUUUGUCUUCCUAGUGGGACUCCAUUGGGGAAAACGAACUUUUCCUUUGAGAGUGCUUGCCAACUGGAGAGAACUUCUGGGUUCCUAGUGGGGUUUGUGUCUACCUCCCCUCCCAGCCUGGGAGCCGUCUGGCAUAGAUGUGUGCACGCUGCCCCGUGUCUGUGUCCAUACGUGUGUCCAUCCCAUUGUAUUGAGAAGGCCCACUUUCUUUGUUGUCUCGUGUCUACCUCGGGCUCUUACAAAUUUCCCAGCAUUCCUUCCUCAGAGUUCCCUGAGUGCUGACGGGAAGGAUUUGGACCCCUCUUCUCAAGUGGCUGUUCUUGGUUUUGAGAUUAGUUUUUAACAGUGUGUAAAUGUUCACGUGGGAUGGAUCCCCACAGACAGAUCUCUUCAGCCUUUCCCUAAGACACAGCACAGAGAGACCUCAAGACUGCUUGAACGUCACCUGCUUGAUCCUAGAAAAUUAAUUUCCAGCUUGGGUCACUCACGAAAGCGUCCCUGUGCGUCUGGCUCCAGACACGCCAGCUGGCUUCCUC
rnacentral:lncRNA from 1 species